rnacentral:rRNA from 1 species
CCUACGGGAGGCAGCAGUGGGGAAUUUUGGACAAUGGGCGCAAGCCUGAUCCAGCAAUGCCGCGUGAGUGAAGAAGGCCUUCGGGUUGUAAAGCUCUUUUGUCAGGGAAGAAACGGUGGAGGUUAAUACCUUCUGCUAAUGACGGUACCUGAAGAAUAAGCACCGGCUAACUACGUGCCAGCAGCCGCGGUAAUACGUAGGGUGCAAGCGUUAAUCGGAAUUACUGGGCGUAAAGCGUGCGCAGGCGGUUGUGCAAGACAGAUGUGAAAUCCCCGGGCUCAACCUGGGAAUUGCAUUUGUGACUGUACGGCUAGAGUGUGUCAGAGGGGGGUUAGAAUUCCACGUGUAGCAGUGAAAUGCGUAGAGAUGUGGAGGAAUACCGAUGGCGAAGGCAGCCCCCUGGGAUAACACUGACGCUCAUGCACGAAAGCGUGGGGAGCAAACAGGAUUAGAUACCCUGGUAGUCCACGCCCUAAACGAUGUCUACUAGUUGUCGGGUCUUUAUUGACUUGGUAACCGCAGCACGACGUGAGUAGACCGCCGUCGGUAGGUACGGUCGCGAGAGUAAACGUAACGAAAGAAGUUAGACGGCGUGAGACGUAGCCGACGGACGACGACGAGGGGAGGAGG